rnacentral:ncRNA from 1 species
GGUCCGACAGCAAGGCGUUCAGAGCGACGUUGUUUUUUGAUCCUUCGAUGUCGACUCUUCCUAUCAUAAAAGUCCCAAAGUGUCGGGUUGUUCACCUGCCGAUAGGGAACGUGAGCUGGGUUUAGACCGUCAUGAGUCAUGAGACAGGUU